UACGUAGGGUGCGAGCGUUAAUCGGAAUUACUGGGCGUAAAGCGUGCGCAGGCGGUUCGUUGUGUCGGCGGUGAAAGCCCCGGGCUUAACCUGGGAAUGGCCGUUGAAACUGUCGAGCUAGAGUCCGGAAGAGGCGAGUGGAAUUCCUGGUGUAGCGGUGAAAUGCGCAGAUAUCAGGAGGAACACCAAUGGCGAAGGCAGCUCGCUGGGACGGUACUGACGCUGAGACGCGAAAGCGUGGGGAGCAAACAGG
rnacentral:rRNA from 1 species